CGGGGGGGGACGGGGGGGGGGGGGGCCGCUGGUCAGACAGAGAGCACUGAGGAGCCAGAGGAAAGGGGAGACUGGGGUGGGAGCAGGGCCAGGACCAGGGCGAGGAGAGUGAGAGACUUAAGGCAGCGCCUACUAACUCAGCAACCGGGGUGAGGAACAUUUUUUCAACGUUCUCCGUCUUCUUUAUUUACGUAAUCUCUGCACCCAAUGUGGGGCUUGAACCCAUGACCCCAGGAUCGAGAGUCGCAGCUCUACUGACUGAGCCAGCCAGGUGCCCCGAGAUGCACUUCUGGAAAACGCCAGGCAAAGGGACAUCGGGUCAGACCCUUCUCUUCCGGCUUCGAGAGCAAAGCCCCAGGCCUGACCACAGCAGACGUGCCCCACGUACAACGCCCACACAUGGGUCGCACUCUCUGGCCCCGAGAAACCCACACCUCGAGGACACACACAGGCUCUGCUCCUCUCUGUGAUGCUGGGCCCGUCAGACCAGUGGUUCUCAACUCAGGAUGAUUCUGGUCUCCUCUCCCCCUAUGCCAGAGGAUGUUCAGCAAUGUCCAGACGUUUCUGGUCAUUAUACUUUGGGGAGGACGGGGGAGUUGCUACUGGCUGGCGGCUGGAGGCCAGAGCUCUGCUCCGUGCCCUGCAGUGCAUGGGAUGGCCCCACUACGGAGAAUGACGUGGCCCCAAAUGUCAACAAGUGCCCGGACUGAGAAACUGCUUUAAACCAUGAGGACCGCGGGAGCUAGGGCAACCCCUCCAGAGAAACGGCAGGAGACGGAGACCGAGGAGGCUCGAAGUCUGGGGCCUCUGCCUUCCUUCCACCACACCUGUGGGCUCUGCGGCCGAGUUAGCCGCAGCCCAGCUCCUCACCUCCACUCCCUCCUUUGGCCCGGUCUGCCCUCCUCCGGAAGAUCAGGAGGUAGCGCCUCCCAUGGCAGGGGAAGCGGAGGGAGGCUCGCCAGGUACACCGAGAGGGAAAAAGAGGCGCCAACCGCCCCGCUCCGGGUUGGCCCUGCAGCACCCAUACCUGCAU